AUUGAACGCUGGCGGCAGGCCUAACACGUGCAAGUCGAGCGGGGUUUUCGGACCUAGCGGCGGACGGGUGAGUAAUGCGUAGGAAGCUACCCGAUAGAGGGGGAUACCAGUUGGAAACGACUGUUAAUACCGCAUAAUGUCUACGGACCAAAGUGUGGGACCUUCGGGCCACAUGCUAUCGGAUGCGCCUACGUGGGAUUAGCUAGUUGGUGAGGUAAUGGCUCACCAAGGCGACGAUCUCUAGCUGGUUUGAGAGGAUGAUCAGCCACACUGGAACUGAGACACGGUCCAGACUCCUACGGGAGGCAGCAGUGGGGAAUAUUGGACAAUGGGCGCAAGCCUGAUCCAGCCAUGCCGCGUGUGUGAAGAAGGCCUUCGGGUUGUAAAGCACUUUCAGCGAGGAGGCAGGGGUUGUAGUUAAUAGCUGCAACCUUUGACGUUACUCGCAGAAGAAGCACCGGCUAACUCUGUGCCAGCAGCCGCAGUAACAC
rnacentral:rRNA from 1 species